rnacentral:lncRNA from 1 species
AGCUUUCAGUUCUUUUAUUUCUUUUUGCAGACAAGAGUUCUCCUCACUAGAGACUACGUUCCUAUUCGCCUAAGCCUCGAACUCCAUUGCCUUGCCCAACAGCCAUAAAUUCUCCUCAACAGCCUUCCUGAAUACUGUCUCAACAUCUUCAGCUCUCCUCUUGGCGGCAUCGACUUUCAUAGAGACUUCUCCAACCUUCUUCUCAGCCCUUUCUUUUGCUCUUUUGAGCAUCUCAACUUCAAGCCCAGACUUCUUCACCUCUUUGGCCAACUCAUGGGAGCUUUUGAUGUACCCGUUCAAGUAAUGGACGAGCUAGUAAGUGAAGAAAAAUUCAUAAGCAACGAAUAAGCAUACAAUAAGUGCUAAAUGGAAAAGCCCAACAUAUUUGGAUGAGGCAAUACAUGGCUCUUCUCCUCAUCUCCCUCCGAGGAAUGCCCAAUAGCUUGUUCACAUCAGCAGGGAGGAAUAGUCUGGAAAGUAGCUUGCUCGCUAGCGUGGGAUUCUUUAGUGCUGAGGCCUCAAGCUUCAGUUUGGUUAGCGCAGUUUCAAAUGUGCUAGCAACCUCAGCUGGUGUCUCAUCCUAAGAGGAUUCGACCGCAGGUGAAGCUGGUCGGAUCGGUGAUCUGAGAAGAGCGGGUAGGCUCAAAAUCACCUCCUUCAGAUCUUGGUCUUCAUGGUCCACCCAAUAGCUUACAGUAGCUGAGGUGGUAGGCAAGCUGAUUUCCACCCACGUAAUCUCAUGACCUUUCGAAUAGGAAGGUUCAGACUCCCUAACCUCUGAAGUCGUUCGUGCGGGAUCUUUGACUCUGGCCCAAAAGCUUCACCCAAUGGCAAGCUUGGUCCCUCUUUUCCAUGGAGUUUUUCUCUUCUCCUUUGGUGGGCUCAAGCUCUUCCCAGCAUCCAGCUCUGCGAUCAUGGUGAUCAAAUUGUAAGAUGAAUAGAGCCAGAAGAUUUAAGACCAAGACAAUUGACUCGCAUACCUUGAGGAGCAAUUUGGCUGAUGCCGGCAUUGAAUAGUGCCUGAGCCAACAAUAGCACUUUCAAUUUUGAAACCCUGAAGCUUUGCAGAGCUACCAUCUCCUACUCCAGGCUCUCAUUCGUUGAAGGUUCCUUCAGUGCAGCCUCUCGGGG